rnacentral:rRNA from 1 species
GUGUCAGCCGCCGCGGUAAUACGUAGGGUGCGAGCGUUGCCCGGAUUUAUUGGGCGUAAAGGGCGCGUAGGCGGCUCGACACGUCCGUUGUGAAAUCGCCCGGCUCAACUGGGCGGGGUCAGCGGAUACGGUCGAGCUUGAGCAAGCUAGGGGGCAAUGGAAUUCCCGGUGUAGUGGUGGAAUGCGUAGAUAUCGGGAGGAACACCAGUGGCGAAGGCGGUUGCCUGGGGCUUUGCUGACGCUGAUGCGCGAAAGCGUGGGGAGCGAUCCGGAUUAGAAACCCGGGUAGUCC